AUUGAACGCUGGCGGCAGGCCUAACACAUGCAAGUCGAGCGGAUGAAGAGAGCUUGCUCUCUGAUUUAGCGGCGGACGGGUGAGUAAUGCCUAGGACUCUGCCUGGUAGUGGGGGAUAACGUUCCGAAAGGAACGCUAAUACCGCAUACGACCUACGGGAGAAAGCAGGGGACCUUCGGGCCUUGCGCUAUUAGGUGAGCCUAGGUCGGAUUAGCUAGUUGGUGAGGUAAUGGCUCACCAAGGCUACGAUCCGUAACUGGUCUGAGAGGAUGAUCAGUCACACUGGAACUGAGACACGGUCCAGACUCGUACGGGAGGAAGCAGUGGGGAAUAUUGGACAAUGGGCGAAAGCCUGAUCCAGCCAUGCCGCGUGUGUGAAGAAGGUCUUCGGAUUGUAAAGCACUUUAAGUUGGGAGGAAGGGCAGUAAGUUAAUACCUUGCUGUUUUGACGUUACCGACAGAAUAAGCACCGGCUAACUUCGUGCCAGCAGCCGCCGUAAUAC
rnacentral:rRNA from 1 species